GAUGAACGCUGGCGGCGUGCCUAAUACAUGCAAGUCGAGCGAACAGACGAGGAGCUUGCUCCUCUGACGUUAGCGGCGGACGGGUGAGUAACACGUGGAUAACCUACCUAUAAGACUGGGAUAACUUCGGGAAACCGGAGCUAAUACCGGAUAAUAUAUUGAACCGCAUGGUUCAAUAGUGAAAGACGGUUUUGCUGUCACUUAUAGAUGGAUCCGCGCCGCAUUAGCUAGUUGGUAAGGUAACGGCUUACCAAGGCAACGAUGCGUAGCCGACCUGAGAGGGUGAUCGGCCACACUGGAACUGAGACACGGUCCAGACUCCUACGGGAGGCAGCAGUAGGGAAUCUUCCGCAAUGGGCGAAAGCCUGACGGAGCAACGCCGCGUGAGUGAUGAAGGUCUUCGGAUCGUAAAACUCUGUUAUUGGGAAAGAACAAAUGUGUAAGUAACUAUGCACGUCUUGACGGUACCUAAUCAGAAAGCCACGGCUAACUACGUG
rnacentral:rRNA from 1 species